CUGCUGCCUUCCGUAGGAGUCUGGGCCGUGUCUCAGUCCCAGUGUGGGGGGCCUUCCUCUCAGAACCCCUACGCAUCGUCGCCACGGUGGGCCGUCACCCCGCCGUCUAGCUAAUGCGCCGCAUGCCCAUCCGCCACCGGAUCGCUCCUUUGGCCACCGGAGGAUGCCCUCCGGUGGCGUCACGGGGUAUUAGGCCGCGUUUCCGCGGGUUAUCCCCCUGUGGCGGCCAGGUUCGCAUACGUGUUACUCACCCGUGCGCCGGUCGCCGG
rnacentral:rRNA from 1 species